AAAAUCCAUUGUUAAUUAACAGCAUUCAAUUCUUAAUUGUCUUUUUACCAGUUCAGUUGAAAUCAUUGACACAAAAUACAUUGUUAAACUGCUUAAUCAAUCGUUGUAGAAAAAUAGAGGUGUUUGAUAGGGACAUUCUAGUACAAAGUUUACGUGAAGCUUCCCAGUUGAAAGCUUUGGAGGCUUCUAUUUUGUUUUAAAGCUUAUGUUACAAAAAUGAGAUUUCAUAAACUUUACAGUCCUUACUACAUUAAUACCAAAGACAAUAAAAUACAGGGAGGGGGGAGAGAGAGAAAGAGACAAACACACACACCUUAAGCUUUAAGUAAGUGCCCUAUUCACAAAAAUACAGCUUACACAUGCACAUGCCCCGGUGGCAGAAAGUCUGGUUUUUGUGCUAAAGGACACAAAAAGGGUUUAAUUAGGGCCCUGAGCUGCUGUUCUAAUUAACACAAACUUUUGUUAAACUGCAGCAAUGAAUUAUAGAGUGGCCCAGUAAACUACAAGAGCAAAAAGCAGGUUUAUCCUCAGAGGAAUGCUUUGCUCUCAGCUCAUGCACCUUUUGUUAGGACUGACAUGCGCGGGCUGCUGGUGGCUAUCGAUGCUGUGCUACCCCUGGCUCCUCUGCUGUAAGGCUUCUGUGUUCCAGUGGAGCUGUGGAGACACCCUUCCUUAAAAACACUCAGCACCCCUCGUGGGUAGCCUUAUGGGUGGGCUGUGAUGGAUGAACUGGAACACUUGGCAGGUGCUGAUGCUGAGGCAGAAGAAUGAGCUUUGAAAGGGCUGUAGCCAGUUGAGUGCUAUCUCACAGAUAUUAAGUGUAAGUAACCUUUACCGAGUUAGUGGAAUCAGCCAUCCUGAGUGGAGGGAACAAAAAUCUAUAUUCUAUACUAUUCCUUACAUCAUGCUGCUUUGUGAAAGCCUUUUAUGGAAAAUACUGAGCUGAAACUAUCCAGCCUGAUCUACCAGUCCCUGGUGUGCAACCCAUUCCCUACACUCUACUCUGACUGCCUCAGCACGAAGCACAGCUAGAGGAUCUGAAGGAAACUCCCACUGAUUAGCCACACUCUGUGAAAAUUAGAAUGGGGCAGUUGAUUUCGGAGAAAAAAAAAAAAAAAAAGGGAAAAUAGGUGUGAAUUUAAUGUAAAAGCUGUUUCACAGUGCAAAUUUUCCACCUGCCCACCAAGUUUCUCCUGAGGUUAUUUUUUUGUCUCUUCUAUUUUAACGUAAAUGUUUCUGUACAGAAAUGCUUCAGAUGCUCUUCAGUGUAUUCUUUCCUUCUGGAGUAGGCAGGUAUAUAAAAAAAAAAUUAAGGCUGCUGCAGCUUCUUCUUCUUUCCUGACAGAAAUGCUCUUC
ensembl:lncRNA